rnacentral:tRNA from 1 species
GCUCCGGUAGUGUAGCCCGGCCAAUCAUUCCGGCCUUUCGAGCCGAAGACUCGGGUUCGAAUCCCGGCCGGAGCACCA